rnacentral:rRNA from 1 species
UGCGUAGGCGGUGCUCUAAGUCGGAUGUGAAAACUCUGGGCUCAACCCAGAGCCUGCAUCCGAAACUGGAGUGCUAGAGUUCUGGAGGGGGUAGCGGAAUUCCUGGUGUAGCGGUGAAAUGCGUAGAUAUCAGGAGGAACACCGGUGGCGAAGGCGGCUACCUGGACAGAAACUGACGCUGAGGCACGAAAGCUAGGGAGCAAACA